GCCGCAGCGCCCGCGCGCGGCCCCACGCCGGCAGCGCCCGCCCUCGGCUCGCUGCGGCCCCCGCACACCAACACGGCCGACCUUGUCUCCUGGUCGGCCACGGGCCGUGGCGCAUCUGCCUCGCCGGUUUGUUGUGAAUUGAUUGUUCUUCUGUUUCCGUGCUAUGCGGCUGACUUGGGGGUGAUGAUGUGUGAGCAGCCGGCCGCGGGGAUUAUGCCGGCGGCGCGCCGGUCACGGAGCAGGAGGCCAUGGAUUCUGAGCAAGAGAUGGCGCUUUCUUGCAACCCUGCUCCACCUGGGAUUAUGGUAGCUUCUGUUGCUACCAAACUGACAUGCUAAAGAAUGACAAUGAGAAUGACAAGAGAGGGGCGUCGCUAUAUGGAAUGUUGUUUAUGUUAAGAGCAUGUUUUUUACUCACUCCAUCUGCAAGCCUCAAGUAACCCUUCAUUGACCAACUAUUUCUACUGUUUAUUGGUUUAUGUUAAGAGGACGUUUUUUACGCACUCCAUCUGCAAGCCUCAAGUAACCCUUCAUAAUUAGGGAGCUUGUUUCAGGAUUGGUUAAUAGUGUGGUAUGGAGGAUGUCUCUGUAAAGUGAAAAGCCUCAGUAAUGUUUAGGGGUAGCUACAGCUCUUUUUGUUAGCUUGAUAUGAAUAUUCAAGAUGUUGAAAUGGCUAUGUUCUUUGUCAUUUGGACAUGUGACUUAGAUGUAGCGUGAUGUAUAUGGCUACCUGGAUGUAUGAGUUUGACAAUAUAAUUUUUUGCAACCUGGGAUUUUGUCAAGAUUGUGUAAUUGUUGAGUGAGUGGGCUUAAAAACAAUUGCGGGCUCUA